rnacentral:rRNA from 1 species
UACGUAGGGCGCGAGCGUUGUCCGGAUUUAUUGGGCGUAAAGAGCUCGUAGGCGGCUUGUCGCGUCGUCCGUGAAAACCCACAGCUCAACUGUGGGCUUGCGGUCGAUACGGGCAGGCUAGAGUUCGGUAGGGGAGACUGGAAUUCCUGGUGUAGCGGUGAAAUGCGCAGAUAUCAGGGGGAACACCGGUGGCGAAGGCGGGUCUCUGGGCCGAUACUGACGCUGAGGAGCGAAAGCGUGGGGAGCGAACAGG